AUUGACUUGGCAGAAAAGUGCAUUUGAUUUAGGAUCAAAACAUAAUAUUAAAUAUUAGUCAAGU
rnacentral:tRNA from 1 species